UGGGGAAUCUUCCGCAAUGGACGAAAGUCUGACGGAGCAACGCCGCGUGAGUGAUGACGGCCUUCGGGUUGUAAAGCUCUGUUAAUCGGGACGAAUGGUUCUUGUGCAAAUAGUGCGAGGAUUUGACGGUACCGGAAUAGAAAGCCACGGCUAACUACGUGCCAGCAGCCGCGGUAAUACGUAGGUGGCAAGCGUUGUCCGGAAUUAUUGGGCGUAAAGCGCGCGCAGGCGGAUUGGUCAGUCUGUCUUAAAAGUUCGGGGCUUAACCCCGUGAUGGGAUGGAAACUGCCAAUCUAGAGUAUCGGAGAGGAAAGUGGAAUUCCUAGUGUAGCGGUGAAAUGCGUAGAUAUUAGGAAGAACACCAGUGGCGAAGGCGACUUUCUGGACGAAAACUGACGCUGAGGCGCGAAAGCCAGGGGAGCAAACAGGAUUAGAUACCCUGGUAGUCCACGCCGUAAACGAUGAGUGCUAGGUGUUGGGUCCUUUCCGGGACUCAGUGCCGCAGCUAACGCAUUAAGCACUCCGCCUGGGGAGUACGACCGCAAGGUUG
rnacentral:rRNA from 1 species